rnacentral:tRNA from 1 species
GGCUUCGUAGCUCAGCCCGGUUAGAGCGCUGGACUCUUAAUCCAGAUGUCGGGGGUUCAAAUCCCCUCGAGGCCA